GUGCAGUACUGCUAACCUGGGAGAGGCCAGUGGGAAGGUGGGUGGCUGCUGGCUGGCAGCCCUCUCUCAGUGGUUAGGGAGCAGCUUGGGCCUCUGCACUGUGUUGGAAACUCCUUGCAUGCUGAAUUGCAGGCCCUGAGUGACUGACUGAGACCUCAGGGAGAUAUAGGGUCAGCAUUAUUUGUGAGAGCAAUUGAUCGUUUGCAGGGCCUGGUUAGCCAUUUCUGUAGACAAAUGAGAGCAUUUUCUUGCAGCUGAGCUGGAUGCUUAAGGGGAGUUGAGUAGAAACAAUCCCAAUACAAGUCUACUCAUUCACACCCACACACACCCACACACACCCAUACACACUCACACACACCCAUACACACACACACUCACACACACCCAUACACACACACACACCCAUACACACCCACACACACCCAUACACACUCACACACACCCAUACACACUCACACACACCCAUACACACACACCCAUACACACACACACACACCCAUACACACACACACACACCCAUACACACUCACACACACCCAUACACACACACACACCCAUACACACCCACACACACCCAUACAUACUCACACACACCCAUACACACACACACACACCCAUACACACACACUACACACACUCACAUCUCCACACACUACACAUACACUCACAGCUUCACACACUACACACACCCACACACUCACACCCACAAACUCAGACUCCACAAACCCACAUGCACUCACACCUCCACACACUACACACACAUACUCACACCUCCACACACUACACACACACACUCACACCUCCACACACUACACAUACACUCACAGCUUCACACACUACACAUCUACCCACUCACACACACACACACACAUUCAGACCCCACACACCCACACACACUCAUAUACUCACAUCUCCACACACUACACACACCCACACACUCACAUACACACUACACACACACUCAUACCUUCAUACACUAUACACACCCACACACCCACACACACCACACACACACCCCUCACAAACACCACACACAGUCAUACACCACACACUCACACAUACCACAUCCCUACACUUCCAUACCCACACACCCCACACACACACCCCACAACACACCACACACACACCACAUCCCAUACAUACCCUACACACUCACACACAUACCACAUGCAUACAGCACAUAUACACUCACGUAUACACACACUCUCAUACACACACACCACACACACCACACAUCCCAUACACACACACACACUCACUCAGAUGGUGAAAGCAAGCAGUGUUCAUGGUCAUCUCUCC
rnacentral:lncRNA from 1 species